rnacentral:tRNA from 1 species
UCCCUGGAGGUCCAGCGGUAAGACUCUGCACUCCAGUGCAGGGGGCGCAGGUUCAAUCCCUGGUCAGGGAA